GUAGGUGGCAAGCGUUGUCCGGAAUUAUUGGGCGUAAAGCGCGCGCAGGCGGUUCUUUAAGUCUGAUGUGAAAGCCCACGGCUCAACCGUGGAGGGUCAUUGGAAACUGGAGAACUUGAGUACAGAAGAGGAAAGCGGAAUUCCACGUGUAGCGGUGAAAUGCGUAGAGAUGUGGAGGAACACCAGCGGCGAAGGCGGCUUUCUGGUCUGUAACUGACGCUGAGGCGCGAAAGCGUGGGGAGCAAACAGGAUUAGAUACCCUGGUAGUCCACGCCGUAAACGAUGAGUGCUAAGUGUUAGGGGGUUUUCCGCCCCCCUUAGUGCUGCGGCUAACGCAUUAAGCACUCCGCCUGGGGAUACGGCCGCAAGGCUG
rnacentral:rRNA from 1 species